UUUGUAGCUUGAAAAAGAUAGAUGAUCAUGCCAUAUAUGUUUGUAAUAAUUGAUUAGGCAACUUACUAACAUUUUGAUAAUAGUUAGGUAACUUUUUUAUCGACCUUUCCAUGGCUCUCAACUUUUUGAUAAAGAGGGUGGAAGAGAGACAUCAGCAAGGCGUGGAGGAACACAAAUUAAGAAUGAGCAAUGCAAUAAUGUAUAGUACAUUAUAAGACAUUAAAUUGUUAGGACUUGCUCUUUGUAAACUACAUGUUCUCCUUUUGUUUUUUAGACAUGAAAGGCCAUAUUUAGUUGGGACUCAACCCAUUUCUUGUGUUUGUUGAGUAUGAGAGAUUAUUUUGGGCCCAGUAA